GCCAGUCUGGCUCAGCGGAUGGAGUGUCAGCCUGCAGACUGAAGGGUCAUGGGUUCAAUUCCCAUCAGGGGCA
rnacentral:tRNA from 1 species